UACGUAGGGUGCGAGCGUUGUCCGGAAUUAUUGGGCGUAAAGGGCUCGUAGGCGGUUUGUCGCGUCGGGGAGUGAAAACCCAGGGCUUAACCCUGGGCUGGCUUCCGAUACGGGCAGACUAGAGGUAUGCAGGGGAGAACGGAAUUCCUGGUGUAGCGGUGAAAUGCGCAGAUAUCAGGAGGAACACCGGUGGCGAAGGCGGGUCCCUGGACACUUCCUGACACUGAGGCACGAAAGCGUGGGGAGCAAACAGG
rnacentral:rRNA from 1 species